UUUCAAAUUUUCCUGCAUUCACUAAAUGUACAUAUAAAUUUACCUAAUCGCCUUAACAUAAUGCCGCCGCCCUGCCGCCCUGCUUCCUCAUUCCGCAAGCAUACAUUUUCACUUCACUUCGGUUGGCAACCCUGUUCAAAGAAGUAGGGGGCAACACUGUAACUAUUCCAUGCGCUCGCCUUGGAUUUUCGUGCUCAACUCUGCACUUAUUACUUAUUACUGGACACACACGCAAAGUGAGAGAAGUCGGGAGCAACCCUAGACAUCCCUUCCACCCCAAAAGAUUGGACACUGAACACUGGACUCGACAGACUCUGGACAGUCAGGACAUUCAGGAUAUUCAGGAUAAGCAGCAUCAGCAUCAGCAUCAGCAUCGCAUCGCACCCUGAACCCAAUUCGCACCCCAUCAAAAGGCGGGCGUGAAGACCAAGUGGCUACUCGGGGGACCUGAGGGACAGCUGUGUCGGGCAGGGGCAGGGACGGGGACGGGGGCAUCUAUUUUCGACACUGCGCAGAAAGGUUGCUUGAAUAUUAAUUGUGAAUAUGUAGAAGAGCUGGAAAAGUACACGAGAGAAAAAAGGCAACAAAUGUGCAAACUUAGAAAUGCAGGCGACGUGCAAGGACAUCAACAGGACCAACCACAUGGAGCAUGCAUUGCGAGUUGAUGUAUGUGUGUGUGUGUGUGGGGAGGGGAGGGGAGGUGCGGAACGGGACUCUGCCUGAGUCUAAUAGAUUUUAGAUACAAAUAUCUUGUCAAAAGGAAAAACGAACUGUUUUAUUUGGCGAAGUUGAAGUGAUUAUCGCAUGCGCUACGCGUUAAAAGGGUCUCG